UGCAUCUCUGUGUGCGUUUUUUGUUUUGAGGAUCCGAAGGGAUCAGAUGACCAUACCACCUGGUUGAUGUCCUGGACCCUGGAUCUUCGAAGUUGCUUUGCUUCUUCGUGUUGUUUGGGUUAAUGUCUGCGUUAAUCACAAAUUCAAUAACACCAAGAACCGAUUUCAAUCUCUACUUUCAUACU